rnacentral:rRNA from 1 species
AUUGAACGCUGGCGGCAGGCCUAACACAUGCAAGUCGAGCGGAUGAAGGGAGCUUGCUCCUGGAUUCAGCGGCGGACGGGUGAGUAAUGCCUAGGAAUCUGCCUGGUAGUGGGGGAUAACGUCCGGAAACGGGCGCUAAUACCGCAUACGUCCUGAGGGUGAAAGUGGGGGAUCUUCGGACCUCACGCUAUCAGAUGAGCCUAGGUCGGAUUAGCUAGUUGGUGGGGUAAAGGCCUACCAAGGCGACGAUCCGUAACUGGUCUGAGAGGAUGAUCAGUCACACUGGAACUGAGACACGGUCCAGACUCCUACGGGAGGCAGCAGUGGGGAAUAUUAGGCAAUGGGCGAGAGCCUGAUCCAGCGAUGCCGCGUGUGUGAAGAAGGUCUUCGGAUUGUAAAGCACUUUAAGUUGGGAGAAAGGGCAGUAAGUUAAUACCUUGCUGUUUUGACGGUACCAACAGAAUAAGCACCGGCUAACUUCGUG